GCCUUCUCCCCGCUUCCGCCCUGCGCGCUAACCGAAGACGGGAGCUCGAGAGCUUGAUCCUGCGCGAGUUUACAGACUGCCCUCUUCCCUUUUUGCAUCGAAGACCACAACUCCCAAGAGUUAAUGCGUCGGCCCGGGACUACAUCUCCCGGCAUGCAUCGCCGGCGGGUCCGCGAGUUCUCACCAUCGCAGCUGGACUAUUAGCGGGGGCCCUAGCGCUCUUGUGGUUUGUUUCGGCAGUAUCUGAAUGUCAGCUUUUGGCACUUCUGGUCGCUCUGAGCCUCCUACUCGCAUUCCUGGAGCAAGGUGCUUUCCAGGCCUCAUGGAGGUGGAGGAGCUGAGGAAGCUCGAGAAGAUGGAUAGAAGUGGGAAAUGGAGCUAGCGUACGGGAGAGGGAAAUGGCUGGAAUAUUCGUCAAUCUGUGGUGCUUUACUGGAGAUUUGCAGGAGUUCAGAGGAAGGGGGCAUUGAAUUUCAUAACCUAAACCGUAUCGUGGUUUACCAGAAAGUUUUGACCCGUGAUUCCGGUUUUAAAGGCUGAGUAGGGCCGGGCGCGGUGGUUCACGCCAGUAAUCCCAGCAGUUUAGGAGGCCAAGGCAGGCGGAUCACCUGAGGUCAGGGGUUGGAGAUAAACCUGGCCAACAUGGUGAAACCUCGUCUUUAGUAAAAAAUACAAAAAUUAGCCAGGUUUUGUGGCACAUGCCUGUAAUCCUAGCUACUCGAAAGGCUGAAGCACGAGAAUCGCUUGAACCCAGGAGGAGGUUGCAGCGAACCGAGAUCUUGCCGCUGUACUCCAGCCUGGGCGACAGAGCGAGACUGUGUCAAAACAACACCACAAGCUAGCUGAGUAGGGUUUCUUGGGCGAAGUGGAAGACAUUAUAAGCAAAUAGGGUAGUAUGGGCAUGGAAACGAACUACAUGAUUAAAGAAUAGUAUUAUCUGGCGAGGGAGGAAAAGUGCCAGAGCAAGUGCCGAAACUGGAAGGUUACAUUUAGUUCAGGAUAUGAAGAUCAUAUAAGGCCUGCACGGUGGCUCACACCUGUAAUCCCAGCACUUUGGGAAGCCAAGGUGGGGGAGGAUCGCUUGAGCUCAGGAGUUGGAGACCAGCCUGGGCAACAUAGUGGGACCCCAUAUCUCAAAAAAAAAAAA
rnacentral:sRNA from 1 species